rnacentral:rRNA from 1 species
GACGGAGGGUGCAAGCGUUGUUCGGAAUUACUGGGCGUAAAGCGUGCGCAGGCGGUUCGUUGUGUCGGUGGUGAAAGCCCCGGGCUUAACCUGGGAAUGGCCAUGGAAACUGGCGAACUGGAGUGUGGCAGAGGGGGGUGGAAUUCCGCGUGUAGCAGUGAAAUGCGUAGAGAUGCGGAGGAACACCGAUGGCGAAGGCAGCCCCCUGGGCUAGCACUGACGCUCAGGCACGAAAGCGUGGGGAGCAAACAGG